AAAGCUCAAAUUUGAAAUCUAGCACUUUCAGUGUUCGAGUUGUAAUUUGAAGAAGGUAUCUUUGGAGUUGGCCCCCGUCUAUGUUCCUUGGAACAGGACGUCACAGAGGGUGAGAAUCCCGUGCGAUGGGGAGACCAAUUCUAUGUAAAGUUCCUUCGAAGAGUCGAGUUGUUUGGGAAUGCAGCUCUAAGUGGGUGGUAAAUUCCAUCUAAAGCUAAAUAUUGGCGAGAGACCGAUAGCGAACAAGUACAGUGAUGGAAAGAUGAAAAGAACUUUGAAAAGAGAGUGAAAAAGUACGUGAAAUUGUUGAAAGGGAAGGGCUUUUGAUCAGACUUGGUGUUUAGUACUCUCUACUCCUUGUGGGUGGGGCUCUUGCUUUAUACUGGGCCAGCAUCGGUUUGGAUGGUAGGAUAAUAGCAUUGGAAUGUGGCUUCAUUCGUGAAGUGUUAUAGCCCUUGUUGAUACUACCUAUCUAGACCGAGGACUGCGUCUUUUGACUAGGAUGCUGGCGUAAUGAUUAAAAGCC
rnacentral:rRNA from 1 species